AUGGCUCCCUCAAUCGCGCCGCCUUCUUCUCCUUCGUGCCUCCGUGGGAAACUCUUUACACGGUUCACUGGUACCAACAGUCAGCCCAUCAAUUCUGUCUUGCGCUGCGAUAUUUCAGUUUCACCAACUUUGGCAUCAAACAGCUUAAGGAGAACCAGUUCGCUUCACUUGGCAAAUAAUAAUCGAACCAAAAGCUUUCAUGUAUGUCAUGCUGGGGUUGAUCCUUCAGAACGUAUUGUUAUAAAUGGUCAGGCCAGUCCAUCUAAAACUGUUCAAGCUGAUGCUGCUGCAUUGGGGACCAUAGCUGCUGACAUGGCUCCUGUCGUCGAUGGGUUUUCAGCUGAUGAUGAUGAACUUGACCUAGAUUUGCCUACAGAGGGUUUCUCAUCUAUACCUGAAGCUAUUGAAGAUAUUCGCCAAGGAAAAUAUGUGAUUGUUGUGGAUGAUGAAGACAGGGAGAACGAAGGAGAUCUUAUAAUGGCAGCAUCCACGGUAACACCAGAGGCUAUGGCUUUCAUAGUGAGGCAUGGCACUGGGAUUGUAUGUGUCAGCAUGAAGGAAGAUGACCUGGAAAGACUACAACUUCCUCUUAUGGUAGUGGCAAAGGAAAAUGAAGAGAAGCUGCGGACAGCCUUUACUGUUUCAGUGGACGCUAAAGAGGGCACAACAACAGGGGUUUCAGCCAAGGAUCGGGCAAACACAGUUCUAGCACUUGCAUCUCCUUAUUCUAAGCCUGAGGACUUCAACCGUCCUGGACAUAUCUUUCCUCUUAAAUAUAGAGAAGGUGGUGUCCUCAAAAGGGCUGGGCAUACUGAAGCAUCAGUAGACCUUGCCAUGUUGGCUGGGUUACCUCCUGCUGCAGUUCUUUGUGAAAUUGUUGACGAUGAUGAUGGUUCCAUGGCUUUGUUGCCAAAGCUGAAAGAAUUUGCAGAGAGGGAGAACCUGAAGAUAGUCUCAAUUGCAGACUUGAUUAGAUAUAGGAGAAAGAGAGACAGACUGGUAGAACGUCUUUGUGUCACACCAUUACAAUUACAGUGGGGGUCAUUUGAAUCCUAUUGCUACCGAUCUCUUAUUGAUGGGAUGGAGCACAUUGCAAUGAUCAAGGGUGAUGUUGGGGAUGGCCAGGAUAUUCUAGUGAGAGUCCAUUCAGAGUGCCUAACUGGAGAUAUAUUUGGAUCGGCGAGGUGUGAUUGUGGGGGCCAACUUGCCCUGGCGAUGACCAUGAUCGAGAAGGCUGGUCGGGGUGUGGUGGUUUACCUACGUGGCCACGAAGGCAGGGGCAUUGGGCUGGGUCACAAGCUCCGGGCAUACAAUUUACAGGAUGCUGGACGGGAUACUGUUGAGGCUAAUGAGGAUCUUGGGUUGCCUGCCGACUCCCGGGAGUACGGUAUAGGCGCGCAGAUACUACGUGAUCUUGGCGUCCGAACCAUGAGGCUGAUGACUAACAACCCGGCGAAGUACACUGGACUCAAGGGCUACGGUUUAAGUGUCCUGGGAAGAGUGCCGCUGUUGACACCAAUAACUAAUGAGAAUCGGCGUUACAUGGAAACAAAGAGGUUGAAGAUGGGGCACAUCUACGAAGACCCUCCUAAUGGCCAUACAAGUGGCAUGAGUGACGAGGAGCAAUAUCAGGAGGAUAGUGGCAGCGAACAAGAUUAG
rnacentral:rRNA from 1 species